CCGCUUGCAGGUAAACAGAUGGACCCACGAAGUCGGUAAAUAGAGGCUGGAUUCAGCUAGCUUUAGAACUGUGUAUAAUUGAAUUGGUCACUCCAAGAGUGAUAAGCACUUAUGCAGCGGUUCUAGAGCUAGCGCACUUCCAUGCUCUCUAUGCCGGAGCUCUGACUGACAUGAUAGUAAUUGCUAAUCAAAUGCCUUACAGGGAGAUGGCUAUCUCAAGUUUACUUGUGAUAGCUUUACAAACUGAAAGGUGAGUAGCAUUUGAACUCGUGCCAGGUGAACUUCUCUCGAAAGAGGGUUUUCAGAUAUAUGCUGUAGGACAGUGUAUUGCACCAGGUUGCGUAGACAAUAAAAUCAUUUGGCUGCUCGUCAGUCGAAGGUUUUGGGCUCUGCGAAUCUAAGUGUGUAAUGCAUUACUUGCAGUGUUAAUCCAGAGUUAGUAGGUCGGUAAUCCAUCUGACCCGUCUUGAAACACGGACCAAGGAGCCUAACUUAUGCGCGAGUCACUCAGUCUUGAAUAGGCUUGAGGGGCGAAAUGAAAGUAAAUGGUACGAUCCUUAGAAACCGAAAGGCGGAAAAGGCGCAGUACCGACCCGCUUAUGCUGCCUUAUGACAGUUAAGCGGAGUUUGAGCGCAUAUGUUGGUACCCGAAAGAUGGUGAACUAUACUUGGGCAAGACGAAGCCAGAGGAAACUCUGGUGGAGGUCUGUAGCGAUUCUGACGUGCAAAUCGAUCGUCAGACCUGAGUAUAGGGGCGAAAGACUAAUCGAACCAUCUAGUAGCUGGUUCCCUCCGAAGUUUCCCUCAGGAUAGCAGGCACUAGAACACUCUGUAGCAUCCGGUAAAGCGAAUGAUUAGAGGCCUUGGGGUCGAAACGACCUCAACCUAUUCUCAAACUUUAAAUGGGUGCGAAGCACGACUUUCUGUGUUGAAGUCGUGCUUCGUAAGAGAGUGCCUAGUGGGCCAAUUUUGGUAAGCAGAACUGGCGCUGUGGGAUGAACCAAACGCCGGGUUAAGGCGCCCGAUGCUGACGCUCAUGAGAACCCAUGAAAGGUGUUAGUUGCUAUUGACAGC
rnacentral:rRNA from 1 species